AUUGAACGCUGGCGGCAUGCCUUACACAUGCAAGUCGAACGGCAGCGGGGGAGAAGCUUGCUUUUCCUGCCGGCGAGUGGCGAACGGGUGAGUAAUACAUCGGAACGUGCCCUGUAGUGGGGGAUAACUAGUCGAAAGAUUAGCUAAUACCGCAUACGAUCUAAGGAUGAAAGCGGGGGUUCGCAAGACCUCGCGCGAUUGGAGCGGCCGAUGGCAGAUUAGGUAGUUGGUAGGGUAAAGGCCUACCAAGCCGACGAUCUGUAGCUGGUCUGAGAGGAUGAUCAGCCACACUGGGACUGAGACACGGCCCAGACUCCUACGGGAGGCAGCAGUGGGGAAUUUUGGACAAUGGACGCAAGUCUGAUCCAGCCAUUCCGCGUGCAGGAUGAAGGCCCUCGGGUUGUAAACUGCUUUUGUACAGAACGAAAAGGCUCUGGUUAAUACCUAGGGCUCAUGACGGUACUGUAAGAAUAAGCACCGGCUAACUACGUGCCAGCCGCCGCAGUAA
rnacentral:rRNA from 1 species